AAGCAGCAACCAGGCUGAAGGCUAGUAGGGGGACAUGCAGCGGUGGGGGGGGGAAGCCAGGAUCGAGGAGGAGGACAGUGGGCAGAGCUGUGGUGUCCAUAGUGCAUCCCCUCACGGCGCAACUUCUGGCCAAGUUAAAGGCUGAAGAUCUGCCGUCAGCAACCCGCUCUCAGGUCCCAGCCCUGGAGACUCAGCCUGUGCCAGAUGUGUCUGUCCAGAGCAGAGCUCACCAGCGUUGAUCUUGGUGGCAGGCCACAAGGUUCUCUUGGUGUGGCUUCAGGAAUCCCAGCAGGUCUGGUUUUCGAGAUAAAGUGGCAGCCUGCUGGCUCUGCCCUCCCCCUCCCCCCCGUUUCUACAGGAUUCGAUUUUUGAAUCUUCAAGAAAAGAAGACCCGUCAUGUCUGUCCAGCGCUGAGUGACUUUCUCCCCCACAACCAUUACAGGCUGUUGGUGACCCCUGCCAGGUGGCAUCUCCAGAUUUCCACAAUCUUCCUGAUCGCCGUCACAGCUCAAGCAUUUGUGAGGCUUUGCUCUCUGCCAGGCCUGGUGCCAAGCAUGCAUGUGCAUUAAGUCAUAGCUUCCCAACCUAGGCGCCUCAACCCAGUGUGCCCUGAAAGGGUCACAGGUGGGUGGAGAGAGGGAGCCCCCUGCCCUUGGACCACCCACCACGGGGCUUGCCAGAGACUGGUGCCCUACCCUCAGGUGACCUGUUACCAAUGCAAUCAUGUUUUCACGUGUGCCACUCAUGGAAAAGGUUUGAAAGCACAUAGUUAUUUCAUUUGAUCCUUACAAUAGUCCUAGGAGGCAAGGACCUUUAGCUCCUUUUUACAGAUGAGGAAACUGAGGAGUUGAAGGGUUAAAUCACUUGCUCGUGGUUACCCACGUAGGAAGAGGUAGGUUUGCAUUGGGCGUGUUUAGUCUGAAAGCCAGCUAUGUGAACAAGCCUUUAGGAAAGCAGACUGCCCUCUCUCCCACACCAGGGCCACUAGGUCCUGAUCGCUUUCAAGGCCAGCUUUCUCCCAACACCUCCAUCAGGAUGAAGGUUCUCUGCCCGGGCUGCCACGACAAAGCGCUACAAACUGGGUGGCUUACACAACAAGCAUGUAUUCUGCAGCAAUUCUGGAGGCUGGGAGUCCAAGAUUAAGGUGUCAGCAGAAUUGGUGUCUUCUGAGGGCCAUGAGGAAGAAUCUGUUCCAUGCCUCUCUCCUGGCUUCUAAUGGUUGGCUGGCAAUCUUGGCAUUUUUGGGCUUGUAGAAGCAUCAUCCCUUCCGCCUUCACCUUUAGACGGCAUUCUCCUUGUGUGCGAGUCUCUGCGUCCAAACUUGCCCUUUGUGUAAGGACUCCGGUCCCAUUGGAUUAAGGCCCAGCGUACUCCAGUAUGACUUCAUCUCAAUUUAACUCACUACAUUUGCAAGACCCUAUUUCCAAAUAAGGUCACGUGCUGGGGUACUGGAGGUUAGGACUCCAAAAUACAAAUGGGGAGGUGGGGGGACACACUUCAACCCAUAGCAUGGCUCUUCUCUUGCAACAGUUGUUCUCACACUUGGGGGAGGAGCAGAAUCACCAUCAAAGAACACAGAGGCUCAAGUCUGUUACACAGGAUGGGGACCAGGUGAUCGUGAUAGCACCAAGUGUGCCAACUCUCCUGGAGCAAUUUUAACUGGACCUCAGGUGCAGAGGGCUGAGCUGGUUACACAUCUCCCAUCACCCCACAGUCAACAAUCCAGGCAAGGGUCAUUUCUUAUCAACUUGGCCCUCUGUUCCCUGCCUCCUCUUCCCCCUCCUCCAUCAGUGCCCACUCCAAUGUGCCAGGUAGAUAUUAAUUAUACAUUAAUAUAUUAAGGUAGGCUUGAAAGUUAUAUCGUGCUGUUUCAUCUACGCAAGUGUUUUAAAAUUAUAUAUGUGAACGUG